rnacentral:rRNA from 1 species
GACGAACGCUGGCGGCGUGCUUAACACAUGCAAGUCGAACGGAAAGGCCUCUUUCGGGGGGUACUCGAGUGGCGAACGGGUGAGUAACACGUGAGUAACCUGCCCUUGACUUUGGGAUAACUUCAGGAAACUGGGGCUAAUACCGGAUAGGAGCUCCUGCUGCAUGGUGGGGGUUGGAAAGUUUCGGCGGUUGGGGAUGGACUCGCGGCUUAUCAGCUUGUUGGUGGGGCAGUGGCUUACCAAGGCUUUGACGGGUAGCCGGCCUGAGAGGGUGACCGGCCACAUUGGGACUGAGAUACGGCCCAGACUCCUACGGGAGGCAGCAGUGGGGAAUAUUGCACAAUGGGUGGAAGCCUGAUGCAGCAACGCCGUGUGCGGGAUGACGGCCUUCGGGUUGGAAACCGCUUUCGCUCAUGACGAAGCUUUGUGUGACGGUAGUGGGUAAAGAAGCACCGGCUAACUACGUG